CUAAGAAGACUACUGGAUGGUGAGCCAGAAAUGGCCUUAUCACCAAUGGAAAAGGUAUUAACCAGUCACAAUGUGUUCUCUGUGAACCACUAAUACUGUGUAUUUCUGAAUCCACUAAUGUAUUGUGAUGUUCCUUAAGCUCAUAAAACAGGCAGACUUUUUGAAGAUUUACCAUCCAGUUGCAAAAAUGAAAAGAAAAUAAAGCUGUGUAAUUAAGUCAGCCAGGAUGGAUUUGAACAGCCAGAUCGAUGUAGAGCCCUUCCUGCCAUGCACUGUACAGUAGGCUAGAUACUGCCGAAAAAGAACUGUCAUGUGCAGCGCGCAAGAUCACACUCAUCCAGGCACGAGGACGUGUUUUUGAGUGCCACCUGCUGGCUUUUUGUCUUUUAGCCGUUCACAGACCGGGACGUUUUUCUGAAGGUGGAUGUUCUGUUGUGUCAGGUGCCAGUUCCUGAAUGAAGCGUUAGAGAAUACGCUUCUCAUGCCUGCCAGCUGUUUUAGGGAGAUGCAGAUUGAAAGACAACAACUACAUUUGUGUUCCAAGACUUUCCUGGUGUCCGUGUUUCACUGAAUAAAACUCUGGGUACUGCUGCUCAUCUGCUCAUCUUUGCUCUUCUGU